ensembl:ncRNA lncRNA:CR44903 long non-coding RNA:CR44903
AACACUGUGCGUCAACAUAAGCGGCUCGGGAAUACUUAGAAGCGGAAAAUAUCCGAACACAAUCGCUUUGCGCAAUCAGCGGGAAAACAAAAGACUUAGGCAACAAACUUGACUCGCUGCCAAUUGCCAAAUCAUGCAGCACUGGUAACAGCAGCCGAUACAAAAAUUACUUACGCCUGCGAAGAAGGCUUACACAAAUGGGUUAGUGUGGCACUAGCCAGCAAUAAUAACAAAAAAAAAAAACACAAUUGCGGAAGCCAUCAAGUGUUUGGUAUGCGCAUUACUCAUGCGAACGCCCGUUUGACGUCGUUUUCAUUAUCAACAGUCCGCAGUGCUGCCGCCUGGCCAAAUAUGCAGACGGGCCGACCAAACACAUAUGUACGAAUCGCCUGUAUAUAUCUUCAUCCGUAUUUUGCACGCUUCUCGACGGCUGGCAACACCCCUGGCAUCCAUGUGUUUCUGCAAUUACUCCAAAGGCACGUACCGUCAUCGUCAUGUGACUUUGCACAUGAUUUCCUACCACCAACACAGGCAACAGGAAAAUCAGCAACGCCAGCGACAGCAGUAAAUACUACCACAAAGGCGUGGAACAAACAAGAAAGCGAAAGUGUUUUCCACAAAAGUCGAGUCCUGCAUACUCUACUGACAAAACUUAAAUAAUCAGCUAGCUC